rnacentral:rRNA from 1 species
AUUGAACGCUGGCGGCAGGCCUAACACAUGCAAGUCGAGCGGAGCGGCGGACGGGCGAGUAAUGCCUAGGAAUCUACCUGGCAGUGGGGGAUAACGUCCGGAAACGGGCGCUAAAACCGCAUACUAUCAGAUGAGCCUAGGUCGGAUUAGCUAGCUGGUGGGGUAAGGGCCUACCAAGGCGACGAUCCGUAACUGGUCUGAGAGGAUGGGCAGGCACACUGUAACGGAGACACGGUCCAGACUCCUACGGGAGGCAGCGGUGGGGAAUAUUGCACAAUGGGCGCAAGCCUGAUGCAGCCAUGCCGAGUGUAUGAAGAAGGCCUUCGGGUUGUGAAGGACUUUCAGUGGGGAGGAGUUACCCGCAGAAGAAGCACCGGCUAACUCCGUGCCAGCAGCCGCGGUAAUUC